CUACGGGGUGCUGCAGUGAGGAAUAUUGCACAAUGGGGGGAACCCUGAUGCAGCAACGCCGCGUGGAGGAUGACGCAUUUCGGUGUGUAAACUCCUUUUAUAUGUCAAGAAAAUGACGGUAGCAUAUGAAUAAGCACCGGCUAACUCCGUGGCCAGCAGCCGCGGUAAUACGGAGGGUGCAAGCGUUACUCGGAAUCACUGGGCGUAAAGGACGCGUAGGCGGGUUGGGAAGUCAGGUGUGAAAUCCUACAGCUUAACUGUAGAACUGCACUUGAAACUUCUAAUCUAGAGUAUGGGAGGGGGAGAUGGAAUUAGUGGUGUAGGGGUAAAAUCCGUAGAUAUCACUAGGAAUACCUAAAGCGAAGGCGAUCUCCUGGAACAUUACUGACGCUAAGGCGUGAAAGCGUGGGGAGCAAACAGGAUUAGAUACCCGCGUAGUC
rnacentral:rRNA from 1 species